CCUACGGGGCGCACCAGUGGGGAAUAUUGGACAAUGGGCGAAAGCCUGACCCGGCAAUGCCGCGUGUGUGAAGAAGGUCUUCGGAUUGUAAAGCACUUUCGACGAGGACGAUGAUGACGGUACCCGUAGAAGAAGCCCCGGCUAACUUCGUGCCAGCAGCCGCGGUAAUACGAAGGGGGCUAGCGUUGCUCGGAAUGACUGGGCGUAAAGGGCGCGUAGGCGGUUUCUGCAGUCAGAUGUGAAAUCCCCGGGCUUAACCUGGGAACUGCAUUUGAGACGCAUAGACUAGAGGUCGAGAGAGGGUUGUGGAAUUCCCAGUGUAGAGGUGAAAUUCGUAGAUAUUGGGAAGAACACCGGUGGCGAGGGCGGCAACCUGGCUCGAUACUGACGCUGAGGCGCGAAAGCGUGGGGAGCAAACAGGAUUAGAUACCCGGGUAGUC
rnacentral:rRNA from 1 species